rnacentral:lncRNA from 1 species
GGGGUGUUCCUCUUUGGGCUCAUUUUAUAUGGUCGUCAUUGCGCUUCCUGGAUUUGAGUGGGUGGUUCCUUUCCAUGUUAGUGAAGUUUUCGGCUAUUAUCUCUUGGAAUAUAUUUUCUGUCCCUUCUCUCUCUCUUCUCCUUCUGGCACCCUAUAAUACGGAUGUUGGUGCGUUUCACGUUGUCCCAGAGUUCUCUGAGAUGCUCUUCGUUUUCGAUCUUUUUCUCUUUUCUGUUCUGCAUCCGUAAUGUCUACUAAUCUGUCCGCCACCUCGCUUAUUUGUCUUCUGCCUCCUGUAUUCUGCUGUUGGCUGCUUCUAGUGAUUUUUUUUUUUAUUUCAGUUAUUGUAUUUUGCAUCUCUUCUUGUUGAGGUUUAGAUCUUGUAUCUCUUUGGUCAGUGUUUCCUGUAAGUUAUCCAUCUUUGCCUCCAGUUUAUUUCCAAUGUCUUGCAUCAUCUUCAGCAUCAACAGUCUAAAGUCUUUUUCCUGGAGGCUGAGAAUCGCUCCCUGCUUGGCUGAUUUUCUGGGGUUUUUCUUUCUCCCUGAUCUGAGUGAUAGUUCUCUGUCUUUUCAUUUUUAUAGGUAUUUGGUGUGGUGACCUUUUUACAGAUAAUGGAGUUGUGUCCUCUCGUACUUCUGAUGUCAGCCCCCCUGUGGCAGAAGUCAGUAUGGGGGCUUGCUGUAGGCUUCCUGAUGGGAGGGGCUGAUGCCUGCUGCCUGGACUCUGUCCUCAUUGUAGAGCGGAGGUGUGGACUCCAGGCCCGGACUGGAGAAGGUCGAGGGGGAUCCUGACCCAGAGCAUGCAAGAAGGCAGGUUACACAGGAGCAAGUGGAGGAAAGCAGACCUCAGUGCUCUGCCAUCUGUGAAGCUCAGCCUAAGGGUGACCUUCAGGAGCCCCCUCACUGUGACCAGGAGUGGGAAGCCCUGGGCCUCUCCUUCCUGUUCAGGAGGCAGUGGAGCUGAGCCUGUGUUGCAGCUGCUCCCUCAGGCGGUCAUUACAAAUGGUGGUCUUGGGGAGAGAGGUCAAGAUGGCGGAGGAGUAUGGGGACACGCUUGCGCUCUCCCACGAACACAAAAAAAAAGCAUACUUGCAGAAUAAAUGACUCACACAGAACAGCAACCAAUCGCUGGCAUUGGAACCUAAACUCCAAUAAUUGCAAGAAGUUCGUGACAUUAUUGGGCAGAACGGGAGAAAACAGGACAGUGAGAGAAGGUGAAUCUGAGUGGGAUGGGCGCUCCUGAAAGGGAACAGCAGAGGAGAAAGGGAUCCUUCAUCCUGGAAAGUCAUCUACAUGGGGGAAAGAUCAAACGAACUGGAGGAAUCUCCAGAUGCAGAGAAGAGUGUAGCAGUAAGUUGGAGUACGGAAAAGCCGAUCAAGAACCAAACGGACCAUCUGAACUUAGGGCACAAUCACCAAAAAUUGAGAUGCCUGGGUGGGGGCUGGGCA